rnacentral:rRNA from 1 species
UACGGGGGGGGCAAGCGUUGUUCGGAAUUACUGGGCGUAAGGGGCUCGUAGGCGGCCAACUAAGUCAGACGUGAAAUCCCUCGGCUUAACCGGGGAACUGCGUCUGAUACUGGAUGGCUCGAGUUUGGGAGAGGGAUGCGGAAUUCCAGGUGUAGCGGUGAAAUGCGUAGAUAUCUGGAGGAACACCGGUGGCGAAGGCGGCAUCCUGGACCAACACUGACGCUGAUGAGCGAAAGCCAGGGGAGCAAACGGG